rnacentral:rRNA from 1 species
AAGUUGUAACAAGGUUUCCGUAGGUGAACCUGCGGAAGGAUCAUUAACAAAUCCAAUACUUGUGGGGCGCUAGUCGUCCUGCAGAUAUUAAUCCGCUGGCCUCGCAAGGGGCUGGUUGAUAGAUAACAUAUAAAUGUGUGUAGUGUUGACAGUGUGUAUUUAAUAAUAAUUAUUGACAACUUUUAACAAUGGAUCUCUAGGCUCUUGCAUCGAUGAAGAACGCAGCAAAGUGCGAAAUGUGAUGCGAUCUGCACGAAUCUGUGAGUCAUCUAAUCUUUGAACGCGAAUGGCACUGUUACGCAAGUAGCAGUAUGUCUGUUUGAGAAUCGCAAACACGAUCAACUCUAGUUGGAGUUGGGAUUGGCCUUAUGUGCUGAAUGGUGCAUUUGGUUUGAAAGGAUCAAGUUGAUGGGCUUCCCAAUGAUGCUCAAUGUGUGCUAGCGAGACAGUCGUCCCGAUCUCACAUUAGUGGUAUUAUUGCAGAGUCCUAAUCACGGCUUGUCUAAUAACAUACAUAUCAAUUACGAUCUCAAAUCAGGCAAGAUUACCCGCUGAACUUAA